AGAGUUUGAUCCUGGCUCAGAACGAACGCUGGCGGCGUGUCUUAAGCAUGCAAGUCGAGCGGCAAGGCGGGGUAACCCGCCCUAGAGCGGCGGACUGGUGAGUAACGCGUGGGUGAUCUGCCCUUGGGAUGGGGAUAGCCAUUAGAAAUAGUGGGUAAUACCGAAUACGUUCCUUCGUGUAAAGGCGGAGGAGGAAAGGCGCUACGGCGCCACCCGAGGAUGAGCUCGCGUCCCAUUAGCUAGUUGGUGAGGUAAUGGCCCACCAAGGCGAUGGUGGGUAGCCGGCCUGAGAGGGUGUACGGCCACACUGGGACUGAGAUACGGCCCAGACUCCUACGGGAGGCAGCAGCUAAGAAUAUUCCGCAAUGGACGAAAGUCUGACGGAGCGACGCCGCGUGGAUGAUGAAGGCCGAAAGGUUGUAAAAUCCUUUUGUUGGGGAAGAAUAACCAUGGGAGGGAAUGCCCGUGGGAUGACAUGAACCGACGAAUAAGCCCCGGCUAACUACGUGCCAGCAGCCGCGGUAACACGUAGGGGGCAAGCGUUGUUCGGAAUUACUGGGCGUAAAGGGCAUGUAGGCGGUUCUGUAAGCCUGACGUGAAAGGCCGUGGCUCAACCAUGGCACUGCGUUGGGAACUGCGGGACUCGAGUCACGGAGAGGGAGCUGGAAUUCCAGGUGUAGGGGUGAAAUCUGUAGAUAUCUGGAAGAACACCAGUGGCGAAGGCGAGCUCCUGGCCGAUGACUGACGCUGAGGUGCGAAAGUGUGGGGAUCAAACAGGAUUAGAGACCCUGGUAGUCCACACUGUCAACGAUGUGCACUAGGUGCUGGGGCGGACGCUUCAGUGCCGGAGCUAACGCGGUAAGUGCACCGCCUGGGGAGUAUGCUCGCAAGGGUGAAACUCAAAGGAAUUGACGGGGGCCCGCACAAGCGGUGGAGCAUGUGGUUUAAUUCGAUGUACACGAGGAACCUUACCUGGGUUUGACAUACACUGGAAUGCGGUAGCGAUAUCGCAGCGUAGCAAUACGCCAGUGAACAGGUGCUGCACGGCUGUCGUCAGCACGUGCCGUGAGGUGUUGGGUUAAGUCCCGCAACGAGCGCAACCCCUACUGCCAGUUACCAACACGUUAUGGUGGGGACUCUGGCGGAACUGCCGGUGACAAACCGGAGGAAGGUGGGGAUGACGUCAAGUCCUCAUGGCCCUUAUGUCCA
rnacentral:rRNA from 1 species